UCAAGAUAUGAAAAAUUCACAAAUGUGUGCUUUGAUGUCAAUUUUUCUGUGACGGAGCAUUAUUAUGUUUGGUGCAGCUGCAGAUUCCGCUGACAUUGAUUGCAUACUGAAUUGUGAUCAUGAGUCCAUCUCUGUCUCUCUUCCCAGUGCGGAAGCAUACUUGCAUCUCCCAACUCUAAGUUCAAAGUUUGAUCGUUUUUCCUUAUUCAACAAUCUACAUUCGGCGGUGAGCUUUGCACGGUUGAAUCUCAGCCAGGGAAAAAGACUUCUUGUUUGUUGUGAUAACGGUAAAGCCUCUCAUAAAAUUUUUAAUUUUAUUCCUAAAUUACCUCUACUUUAAUAAAAAAUAAAACAAAAGAACGCGUGUGUAUUUAGGGGGAGAAAGAAAAGAGAAAGGAUGCGGGAGAAAGGGAGAAGGGUCACACCAUUGAAUAAAAUCUCACACCAUUAAAAAUAUCAAUGAUCGUUAAUUGAUGAUUACAAAUCACAAAACUUGCUGACCCUCUAACACUCCUCUUAUAUAAUUAAACUAGUGAUUUUUUCCUAAUAUAAUGAUGUUAUUUUGAAAAAGAGACACUCUAAAAAAAAAGGAUAUAUUGCCCUUUGCCCACAGUUACAUCAAGUGUGCCAAAUCCAAUCAACAUGGCUCAGAUAUUUAAAAAAGGAUAAUGCUGUUCUUUAAUUAGUUUACAAAAUCUAAAUAACAAUAGUAUUAUAAACUGAAGGGAUGACUUGAAUAUGUACUUACAUGAUUAAUUAUACUGAAAUAUUAUUUAUUUUAUUAUAUGAAAUUCAAAUAAUAUAUAUAGAGAGUGAAAGCAAGUUAUUGCACCUACCUCAUGAUUGUUAUUAAGUAGAAACUCAAAUACAGUUAUUUUCAUAUAAAGUUGACAUUUAAAAGUCGUUAAAUAAUUUGAUAAAUUUAACUAAAUUACCAUUUAAUAAUUUUCAAUUAUCAAUCUCACAUGAAAACAAUUACAUAUGAAUUUUUA